rnacentral:rRNA from 1 species
GUCUACAGCCACGCCACCCUGAAUGAGCCCGAUCCCGUCUGAUCUCGGAAGCUAAGCAGGAUCAGGAUGGGAGACCACUUAGGAAAACCAGGUGCUACAGGCG